rnacentral:lncRNA from 1 species
AACAUGAACACGACAUUUUGAUUCCGACCCUAUAGUUGUCUGGGCAGGAUGAUCAAAACCCUCACUUGAAGGAACUAACUAAAUAAAGUUCCUCGCUAUAUAAACUUCAGUUUACAUUAAUUGCACAGAAAAAAAAUGAACAGCUUAAAGCAGCCAGGUAUGCUACACUUAGAUACGCUAGUAUAAAUAAAACAAGUCAGCACUGAAAAUUUGGAGCAGCACAACCAAACCGAUAAUGCAGUACCAGUCAAUUAUCCAUAAGAACAAAUGUGUUUGACCAUAGUGUUCAUCCUAUAUAUAAGCUAGGGAGGUGAUGUAUAUAACACACAAGGAGACGGCAAAGAAAUGAUCAAGAAAUUGUGAAAACUAAAAGCGAACCUAUGCUCAGAUAUCAGAACAAGAUUAUUUGGUGCGUCGUUGUCAAGAGAUUAUUUGACGUGUCAUGAAACCAUAAACAUGCAUAAUUGUGUUGGUACUUGAUAAAAUAAAACUAUGACUUCAGAAUACCCUAGCAUCCACUGUAAUGACUCCAUAAUUACUUGUUACUUUAAAAAGAAAUACAAUGAAAAAAUAGAUACACAUUCCUCUCAAGUUGCGUUUAGUUACCAAACUUAUAAAGAAAUAUAAUGAAAAAAUAGAUAGCCGUAUGGGACUAAACUCCUCCCCGUGGUACCACAGUUGCGUUUACUUACCACGAGCAGUGGAAGCCGCCGCCGCCGCGCGCGGGCCAGUCCGCAGGGCAACGCCACC